CCCUUAGAUGUCCUGGGCCGCACGCGCGCUACACUGAGUGUCUGAGAUACGAGUCUGCCUGGUCCGGCAAGGUCUAGGUAAUCGCUAAAAGACACAUCAUGCUUGGGAUAGAUUCUUGCAAAUAUUAAUCUUGAACGAGGAAUUCCUAGUAAGCGCAAGUCAACAGCUUGCGUUGAUUACGUCCCUGCCCUUUGUACACACCGCCCGUCGCUACUACUGAUUGGAUGUUUAAGCGAGGUUCUCGAACUGCUAGCGACUUAGCUUCGGUGAGGUCGCAGUGUGGGAAGUGAACCUAGCUUUGGUGUCUAGAGGAAGUAAAAGUCGUAACA
rnacentral:rRNA from 1 species